rnacentral:lncRNA from 1 species
UUCAAUUCGGGUCCGGUGUUAGUCUGAAAAAAAAAAGGGGUGACCGUCUCUAGGGGAGAGAGGAAGGGAGAGAAAGAGAGAGAGAGAGAGAGAGCUGAACCGGUUCAACCUGACCCGACCCGCGAACUUGAAACGUGACCCGGUUGGAUUUCGCAAUUUCGACCACCUCACCGGCCGCGAAAGUACCAAUCUGAAGCUUGAACACUGGCCAUCAUAUCGCAGCCGUUACCGCCGACGGAAAACGACCAGAACAGCGGCAAUCCAAGCUUGAAAGCCCGCGACUUUUCCACUUUACUCCGCCACGAUUUUUGCCGGAUUUUGGAUGCAUCACCAUUUGGGUUUUGUUCCUCAGGUCACCCUCAUCUUUUUCCGACCGGUCCCGUCACCUGAAACGGCCGGAUUGGCACCGAUUGGCCGCCGGAAAGCUCACGGCUUUGGGAGCUCGAUUAGCCGCCGUCGUCGCGAGUGGAAGGUCACCGCCUGCAUCAUUGAACUCAGCUCGGACAGAAUUGUCUAACCUGGGCUUCCCGACCACCGUUGACUGAAUUUCGGUUGCCCUUGGCCGGCAAGGGUAUUUCCGUAAUUUCAUAACUUCAGUGAUAAUAUUGUAAUUUUAGAUUUGUGGAUAAUUUAGUAAUUUCAGACUAAGGGCAGUUAGGUAAAUUCGAAUCAUUGGAGGGUAAUUUGGUAAUUUAAGUGUUAAGGGGCAAUUUGGUAAUUUCACAUCCAGGGGUAAUUUUGUAAAUUCAAAUCAUGGUGGACAAUUUGGUAAUUUCAUGUUGAGGGUAGUUUAAUAAUUUGACAUUCCAGGAGUAAUUUGAUAAUUUAUGUUUCCGGGGAGUUUUGGUAAUUUUAAGAGAGGGGUAUUUUAGUAAUUUCGUAGAAACAUGGUUGUAUGAGAGUAAUAAAUGAUCACUUAGAGUUUAAUUGCAUAGCGUUGAUUUCAUUUCACAUUAUCGGAUAGUAAUUAUGUCAUUUGCUUGAAUUAGGAGGACCCGUGAACGAGAAUCAAUUCAUAGACGUGGAUGAUAGCCGAGUUUGAGCGUCGUCACUGUGAGUGGAAUAUAUAAAAUUUAUUUACAUAAUAUAUUAUGAUUUUACGAUACAAUACAACAUGUUCGAUAAAUAAGUAUUUAAUGCUCCAAUUUAAUGAUUUUAUAGAAAAUGAAUUUUUAUCUACGUAUUGAUAUUUAUUAUUAAAAAUACAUAUGAUUAAUGAUUUAUUAUCGACUUUGAGUAAAUGCAUGACAAUGGUGUUACUACAAUGGAUAGACAUAAGUAGUUGAACUAGUAAAUAAGAAUACAAGCAGUAUAGUUGAAAUCUUUUGGUUGAUCUCUGAAAAUCUGGAAAUUCUGGUAAAAAAGAAGAAUUUCCAAAACUUCAAAACCUAGCACAUCUCUAGGAACUGUAAUGGCAUAGCUCAUAAGUUAGCUAAGUUAGCCUUCCAAAAGAAGGAAAUUGUAUUAUGGUUGGAUGAAAUUCCAACGGACAUUAUGUAUUUGUGCUCAAGUUAAUUUUAUGAAAGGCAUACUUUUUUUUUUUUUAAAGUAUAAAAUAAAGUGGAUUUAAAGUAUAUAAAUGAAAAAAAGAAAUGAGAUUUAAAGUGUGAUUAUACAUUUAUGUAUAGGUGUAUAAAAUAUUUGCAAAAUUAUUGGACAAUACCCUUCCUCGGUUACGCAGAGGGUUUUGGUCGUGUGCUUGGGCUCAUUUGUCCUUUGGGGAUUAGUUUAUAUAUGCACAGAUCUGAUGACAUAUAAGAUUACUUUUUCUUGUCUAUCCAUUGCAGUUUCGGGGCGUGAUGAUUCAUUGAUUGCCUGUAUGUUGAGAUCUGGAUAUGACAAGAUUAUUCCCGCUAAGUACUUGUUUAGUGACAGUUUUCAAAAUUCAAUAUUUGAGAUUACAGUGUGUUAUGAUUUUCUUGAUUUUUCUACGGUAUUACAUAUUAUGUUUAUGUUAGUGUAUGAUUUAUAUUUAAAUAAGUUAUUUAAGUUUCUUAUGAUAAUUUUGGUAAAGUAAAUUUUGAAAUUAUGGCCACGUGAUGGUGUUAGGAGUCUUAGAUGUUUUUGCUGGGAUAUUUCAAAUUGUAUAAUUUUGUUAUAAUUUGUGAUUAAAAAUAAUUUAUUGUAUUUUGAUAUUAGAUGUUUUGAUGAUAUUUGAUAUUUUGAUUGAGGAAGUUGUUGUAGAGGUUGGUUGAAUAUUGAGUUAUUUUGAGAGUGUUUGUUCUAUAAUUUGCAGGUGUGGGAAUUUCAUAAUUAUAGGAGAGAUUUUGUUGAAUUUUUGGCAGAAUUCUUAGACAUUAAAUUAUUUUUAAUUUCGAUUAGACGAGAGUAGAUAGACUCACCCUAGGUGUUUGAGGCAGGUCGUUUCAAGUUGGCAUCAAAGUAUUUUGUAAUUAUAAUAAGUUUUGCCAUUGUUGAAAUGAGAAUUGAUAUUUUGUAGGCACCAUCAUGCUUCGUCGUAGCAGUGGAAGUGGUCGUGGCCGUGGCCGUGGCCGUUUUAGGCUAGUAGUUGAGUUGGCUCCUAGUUAUGUACCUGUGGGGGAAAAUGAACUUGUGAAUGAGAGAAUAGUAGAGUCUUCAAUGCAUGAGGUUGCACAACAUACACUAAGAAAUGUACCGAACAUUGAGCAGUCAUUUGAUAGGCUAGCUCAGAUCAUAACUGCUGUUGUACAGAAUCAGACUCAAGCACAUGCCAGUCAUGUAGACAAUAUCGAACGUGUACGAAGUUUAGGGGCAAAGAGUUUUAAUGGUUUUGGAGAGCCACCUAAGGCUGAGUUGUGGUUUGUCAAGCUAGAACGUAUUUUUAAUGUGAUGAAAUGCUCAGAUGAGGACAUACUUUCCUUUGCCACUUUUCUACUCGAGGAUAGAGCUUAUCAUUGGUGGCAAACAAUAGAGCGUCGAUAUCAAGGACAUGCUGCUAUCACUUAGGCUAUUUUCCGUAAGGAAUUCUAUGACCAUUAUUUUCCAGUGGUGUACCAAGAUAUUAAACGGAGUGAAUUUCCUCGAUUAGUCCAGGGAUCUAUGACGGUUGAAGAAUAUGAGAAGAAGUUUAUGGAUCUUUCUAAAUUUGCCAUAUCUACAGUGGACGAUGAAAGAGAGAGAUGCAAGCAAUUUGAGGAGGGUCUUCGAUUCGAGAUUCGUACCACAAUAACUGCAUCACGAUACACUGAGUUUGUAGAGGUAGUUGAGGCAGCCAAGAGAGUAGAACACAAUAUCUCAGAGGGACGCAGAGUGCAAGCUUUAAGACAAAAGCGUAACCAGAGUUGGACAAAAGGUGCCUCUAGUAGUAGGCCACCUAAGAGAAGAGGCACAUAUGCCAUCUACUCUAAUAACAUUCAAAUGAGUCAGGGUAUAGGCGGCAAGGGAGAUAUGAGACAGGAUGUUAGUCACGGUUUAGUACAGCAGUCAAUAGUGAGUAAUGUCAAGGCUCAAGGACAAUAUGAUAGGAAUAGCGGAGGACACCGUUGUGAUCAUUCUAGGAGUAUACAACCGACUUCUUGCCCAUCGUGUGGCAAGAACCAUCCGAGCCAGUGUCAUGUUGGAGAUAAGGUGUGUUAUUUAUGUGGAGAACCCGGACAUAUCAAGAGAUUCUGUCCCACUUUGCCUCAGGGUGAUAAUUCUGCUUGAGGUGACUCACAAUAUCAGUCUCACUCUAAACCAACCCAGGAUCAUAAAGGUGUGCAGACAAGGCGUUCUACAUUUACUUUUAGGAGUCAAAUGAUUGCUCCAAGUCAGAGAAGUGAAACCGGUCGACCUCAUACUCAGGCUCGAGUUUUUGCUUUGACGCAGCAGGAGGCUCAUGCUACACCAGAAGUUAUUAUGGGUAGAUUAUCUAUUGGAGGUUUUGUUAGUAUUAUUAUUUUACUAUUGUGCCUUUGACUAUAAUAAUUAACACUCUCUUUGAAGUUAAUUUUGAUAGAAUAUUAUGAUAACAAAUACUUAUAAUACAAUUAAAUAAAUUAAAAUUAAUUUACGAUAACGACCAUUCCCCUAAAUAUAAGUUUUCAUCAUCAUUGAAGAAUAUAAGGAGCUUUAUAAUAAACUAUAAACACAAGGAAAAAUUAAAAAAACAACAAAAACAUAAAAACAUUCCAAUCCAGGAUUCUCGACUUGUUAAAAUCUAAGAAAAUUAUUAAAUCACAUAAUUUAAUAUUGUAAUGACAUUAUACUAUUGAAUCAUAAUUUUUUUGGAUAUUAAUAAAGUCCAAGAUCAUGGAUUACACACACACACACACACACACACACACACACACACACACACACACACACAUAUAUAUAUAUAUAUAAAAUAUAAAAUAAUUAUUCAUAAAGGACGUAACUCUGAUGAUUACUUUAAUGAGACCAACUUAAAAGAAGAAGAACAAGAGAAAGGGCUAACAAGGAGAGGCUUACAAUUUUAAGGCUUGGCUUUUUUUUUUUUUUUUUGAAGGGAAAGUAAAGUUUUCCAUUAAACUGACUUUGAAAACAACAGCAAAACAUUUUCUGGAAAAUUUUCUAGCCACAGAGCAAGUCUUUCAAAACUUAAAGCUAAUUUAGCUAAUGAAUCAGCUAAAGCAUUACAAACUCUCGGGACAAAUUGAAUUCUUGAGGGAUUUUGGUUCUUUAAAAACAACUGAAUGUCAGCAAUUGUCCAGCCUAUCUCUGCUAAGCUACCCUUUCUGUUGAUAGAAAGCUCCACCACCUCUGAUGAAUCUGAUUCGAUAAUCAUAGGCCUACAGUUUACUUGAAAAGCAUUUUGAAUACCAAAGAGGACAGCCUCAGCUUCCAUAUCAACCACAGAACCCCUAUAUAGAACUCGCUUAACAGCUGUAGCUAUGAUCUUUCCCCUGGAAUUCCUGAUCACUACCCCCAGACCCACCUGCUGGGCUGAAGUAUUUAUUGCAGCAUCCACAUUCACUUUGUACCAACCUUCUGUGGGGGGCCAUCCAAGCCUGAAUUUUUUUCCUGGGAGCCUUUAAGGCAGCUUGAUCAUUCGAGCAUUUUAUCCUCUUGUAGGAUUCCACUAUGGCUUCUGCUCUUGCAACUGGUAAUAGGGGGUCCUCUUGUUUCCCCUAAAAAAAUUGGAGAUUUCUUGAAUGCCAGAUAGCCCAACAGAUUGCAGCUACCAUCUCCCUGCCCUCUUUGCUUAUUUUCAAAGCUACUUCUUGGAUCAUACUUAAGAUAUCUUGUUGAGCCAUCAUCUUUAUAUCUUUGUACAAUUCUGUCUUUUUCCAAACCCUUCUAGCAGCCUUACAUUCCAGCAAAGCAUGGACCACAUCUUCUCUCCUACACCCACAUCUUACGCACACUGGCUCCACCACAAUUUUCCUUUUCCAUAAGUUACUCGCUGUUGGCAGCAGAUUUUUGACAGCCCUCCACAUAAAUAUUUUCACCUUUUCUGGAAGCUCAUUGGACCAAAAGACAUCCCAUCGUGAUUUGGAGCUAUCAGAACAACUUGGGACUUCUUGGAAUUUUUCCUUCACAACUAUUUGGUAACCACUCUUAGCUGAGUAUUUCCCAUGCUUGUCAAACUGCCAUAUCAGAGCAUAUGGUUGAGGAAUUCUCGGGAGAGGUAGUCUUAAGAUUUCUGUUGAAGUGUCCUCUGAGAAACUUUGAGCUAUUAGAUCUCCAUUCCAUUGCUGGCCAUCCUUUAUCAGAUCAGCCACAACAGCUUUAGGAUGUAGACUUGACCAAGGGACUAGACUGAAGACACUAUUCUGAAUCCAAUUUAUGCUGUGCACUGAGAUUUGCUUCCCGUUCCCAAUCCUCCACCUCAAUCCCUCUUUUAGCAGAUGUCUUCCUUAGAGAAUGCUUCUUCAAACGAAGGAGGGGUUAGACCCCAACUUAGCAUCCAUAAAUCCAGCACCUUUGAAGUAUUUAGCUUUCAGAAUUUUCGCCAUUAAAGAAUCAGGAUUGUGAAGAAUUCUCCACCCUUGUUUUGCUAUUAAAGCUUGAUUAAAAUAAGAAAGGUCUCUAAAUCCCAGCCCUCCCUUUGUUUUUGCUUGGCAUAGUCUAUUCCAACUAGACCAGUGAAUGCUCCUUUUUCCUCCAGUAGAACCCCACCAAAAUCUUGCUAUAGCCUUUUCUAUGUCGUCGCAAAGGGUUUGGGGGAUUUUGAAUACACUCAUCGCAUAAGCGGGCACCGCUUGAGCCACCGCUUUUAUAAGAACUUCCUUCCCCCCACUGGAAAAACAUUUACUCUGCCAGCUUGAUAAUUUGCUCAACACUCGUAGCUUUAUGUCGUUAAAGAAACUGAUUUAUGCUCUCCCCACCAUAGAAGGAAGUCCAAGAUAUUUCUCAUGCUUGGACACUACAGCCAAAUAAAAAAUGCUGCUUAUUUUCUCCCUCAGCUGCUGACUUGUGCUAGAACUGAAAAACAUGGAGGACUUUUUAUAAUUGAAAAUCUGCCCUGAGGCUGCAGUGUAACAGUCAAAAACUUUCUUUAGCUCUCUGCACUCAGCAUUAGAAGCUCUUGUGAACACUAGGCUGUCAUAUGCGAACAAAAGAUGAGUGACCGAAAUCUCUCUACUGAAUUUCAAGCCGUGAAAUAAGUUUUGACCUUCUGCUCUUACCAGCAAAUUUGAGAAUACUUCAGCACACAUUAUGAACAUGUAUGGCGAAAGCGGGCAUCCUUGUCUUAAUCCACGUUGAGGAGGGAUGAGACCUUUUGCCACUCUAUUUAUCAAGAUUGAAAAGCUAGCUGUGGAUAUGCAAUUCAUAAUCAAAUUCACCAACCUCACCGAAAAGCCUAGCUUUUGCAUUGUUCCUUUAACAAAACUCCACUCCACCCUAUCAUAGGCCUUACUAAUAUAUAAUUUCAGAGCUAUCAAUCCAUUUCGGCUCCCUUGACUCUAUCUAAUUUUGUUUAGACACUCAUAUCCUAUGAUUAUGUUAUCAGUUAUAAGCCUAUUAGGAACAAAAGCACUUUGAUUGGGAGAUAUAAUAUCAUUCAGAACUGUUUUGAGUCUAUUUGCUAUUGUUUUUGCGACAAUUCUGUAAAUGACAUUACAAAGACUAAUUGGUCUGAACUCUGUCACUUUCCCAGGCUUUGACACUUUCGGGACUAAAGUAAUAAAAGUGUGGUUCAAAAGAGUAAGAUUACCUCCCUCAUUUAGGAUGUGCAGACAUGUUGAAACCACCCCCUCAUUGACAGAGCUCCAAUGCUUCUGGAAAAAGACCACCGGAAGACCAUCUGGACCUGGUGCCUUCGUGGGGCACAUUUGAGCGAGAGCUUCAAAUAUCUCCUCCUUCGUGAACAGUUGGUCUAAUUGACUAUUCAUCUCCCCUGAAACUUUGACUGGCACAGCUUCAAGAGUUGCAUUCAGCUGGGUUGGAGAUGGGCUUGAUGUGGUGAAAAUAUUUGUAAAAUAUUCGCCAAAAAACCUUUCUACUACCUCGACAUCUUCAGUCCAAUCACCAUUUUCGUCUUCAAUGCCAUGGAUUCUGUUUUUUUUUUCCUCCUAGCCGAAGCCUUUGUAUGGAAAUAUUUUGUGUUCCUAUCACCCUCUUUCAGCCAAUCCGCUCUCGAUCUUCGCUUCCAAAAAAUUUCUUCAUCAGCUAGAAUAUUAUCUAUCUAAUUUUCAACUCGUUUUAAUUCAUCUCCACUUUCAAAAUGACAGUAAUCUUUUUUCAUGCUUUCCAGCUUGUUUACAAGUUUCUCCAGCUUCUUUUUCCUUCCAUUAAAUUCUCCAUUGCUCCAAAUUUUCAGCUCAGCCAAGGUUUCUUUCGAUUUUUUCAUGAAGAUUUCAACCGGGUUGCUACUAUUCCAGCAACACUACUCCUUCCAUUCAUGCUUCACAAUUGUCUUGCACUUCUCGUACGGGCUCCACAUAUCUUCAUAAUGGAGCCUAGGAUACGUUCUCUUCAAGUAGCCCUUGCCCCUGCCUUUCUCCAGCACUUCCAUUAUAAUCGGGAUGUGGUUCGAACUCCGCGAAGUCAAAUUCGAAGCUGCCUUUUCCUGAUAAAAGCUUCCCUAUUUUCUGUUGCACAAGAAUCUAUCAAGUUUCUCUUCGAUUAUGUGAGGCCCAAACCUCCUAUUUGACCAAGUGAAAGGGUAUCCGCUACUUCCCAAAUCCUUCAAAUCACAAUCCCUCAAUGCUCUCCUAAACUCAUUCACCUCAAUUAUCCGUUUCUCCUUUCCCCCAAUCUUCUCAUUUAAGCUCAACACUUCAUUAAAAUCCCCAACACACAGCCAUGGUAAUGAAGACAACUUUGCCAACCUUCUCAGCAGCUCCCAAGUGUGUUUUUUUUUUUUGUCGGAUUCCGGAUGUCCGUAAACACCCGUGUACCUCCAGUAGCUUCCAUUUUCACUAUGCACCACGGCAUCAACAUGGUGUUUACUGUAAGACUUGAUAUCAACUGUAACCUCUUCAUUCCACAAUAAAGCCAAACCGCCCCCCAGACCCUCUCUAUUAACUGCGAAGCAAUUUUGAUACCUCAACCUUUUUGCUUUCUCUUGCAUUUGCUUAACCUUCAAUUUAGUUUCACAAAGGAACAUAAUUUCAGGCCUAUGCUCACGCAAAAGUUGUUGGGCUUCUCGGAACAUUCGGUCAUUUCCGAGCCCCCGAACGUUCCAGCUAACGAUUUUCAUGGCUGUCGGCGGGGCUGUUUCCCAGCCACCGCCGAUUUCUCAUUUCCAGCAUUCUCAAACUCCCCCCUGUCUUCCUCCUCCACAUUUUCAAAGCUAAGCCCCUCUAUUGCCAUGGCUUUUCCAGACCGUUGGUUGCUCCCCAUUUUUUGUGGGCUGUUCCCUUUGCACUUUUUUGGUUUUGGGCUUUCCCAGUUCAUUGAGCUACUCAACCUUUUUAAUCCCAUAACUUCUUCAUUUGUUUCCAUAUUCCCUUCCACGUUGCGGGCUUGAAAUUUCCACUUCUUUUUCUUGGGCUUUGAUUUAUCCAUUCUGAGCCCAUUCUCUCCAUUCUCCACUUCUGAUUCCAUUUGGUGUGAACACGUAUACAUGUUUAGCUUAUGGUCCCCCUUUUCUAUACUGCAUUUCCUUACAUUUUCUUCCCGCUCUAUCUAAUACCACAUUUUACAUUUUUAUUGACUUUUUAUGUUGGAGGUUCGCUUCCCACUCUUUUUCUUUUCCAUCUAUAGUUCUCGCCUCCUUGUCCAUCUCCUACAGCACUGCACCUCCCUCUGCUUGAUUUUUACUGACAUUAUGGCUGGCCGCUGGCUUUGUAGUCUUUGUUGCCUCUUUCAUUAAUUGUUCCCCAGUCCCCAAUUGAUCCCUGCUCCUCGUUCCACUCAAACUCCCCAUGCUCGAAUCCUAUUCGGGCCUAUUGAGUCCGUAUUCUGUUUCAUGAACCCCUUCAUUCUGUUGGUCUUUCUCCAUCAUAUCAUUUUCUCUAGCCCUUUUUAUUGGAUCUGAAGCAUUUGAAUGAUUGUUUUUGAUAUCUGAAUCCCAUCUAUCUUUCCUUCUACCCUGUUUCAAUUUCUCAGUAAUCGUGAGUGCUUUAAGCCAUAGACCAUACGACAUUUCAUCCUUGGACUAAGAUUUAUAGUGGACACACUCUCUGUAUUGGUGACCUAUCCGCCCGCAACAGAAGCAAAAAUCCUGCAGUCUUUCGUAUAUGACCCGCAUAGGAAUGUCUUCCUCAUCCUCCCCUUCUUGCUCUAGCUCAAUUAAUUUCUUCAAAGGCUUCGUGACAUCCACAGAAAUUCUUAAUCUAAAAAAUUGUCCAAAGCAUUCCCCUGUUGCAUCUGUUUCAAUUUCUUCAACUUUUCCAAUGACAUUCCCUAGCUCCAAUGCCAUCUCCUUUGACAUACACAUGAUGGGGACAUCGUGUAUCUGCACCCAGAAAGAUACGUAAUUGAUUUUCUGCUUCUUUACAUCACCAAUUCCCGCUGGUUCGGUGAGCACAAUGAGUGCUAUGUCAAAAUGCCAAGGGCCACCCAUUAAUAUGCUUCUUUUAUCCGCCUCAGUUCCAAACUUAAACAUGAACACAUUAUCACCCAGACCUUCUAUCUUUACUUCGCGUGAGGUUCUCCAUACCCUUUGUAUAACAGACUUCAACCCCUCAAUACUGACUCCCCUCGUAUGCAGAACUUUCCCGAUUAAACACCCCGCAACUAUUUUUUCCCAUGUGGCCUUCAUUUUACUCUUGAAAGAAACUCUUCCCUCCUCUUCAUCACUCAACUUUAUUGCUCUACAUCUUCUGAUUAGCUCCUCUGGGUCCAUCCUCUCUACCACACAGACUAGCAGGCUAGAAAGGAUUAGCUUGGAGCUUGGAGCCUUUAAGGAGUUGACUUUUGAAAGAGAAUUUCACCAACUACUCAGCACUCUUCCACAGAUUGACUGACCUAAAUCCCGUACAUCAUUAAAUAAUGAAAGUGAUAAAAACAAUAGGAAGAAAACCCGCCCACAUUAGAGUGACUUAAAGGAGCCAUGACGCCUCUAUUUUUCCUCUCAUCGUUGUAAGUUUUCAGAGAAAACUCAUAAGGAGAGAGACUUCAUCCUUCACUCGUAAUGCUUGGUUUUUGAGACUAAAGCCUAGCUCCACUAAUUAGCUAGGGGGCAGUUUUAGCAAGACUUAAAUCUUGUGUUCAAAUUUCAUGUAGUGUGAGUAUGGGUUUAAUUACUAAUUUUUUUUAUUUAAAAAAAGAGAAGAAAGAAAGUUUGAAUUCUAAACUGUAAUCUUGUUAAUUUUGCUACAAAGUUUGUUGCUGUGUUUACAAUUAGUUUUCAUUUAGGUUGCCCCAUGUGUUGUUCCUUCAUGAUCUAAAGCUCUAAGAUUAUGAAAAGGCCGGCCUAAAUAAUAAGAAGAAAAUCUAAUUACUCUUCAAAUCCACACAAGCGUCCAACUGUUUGUGAAUUAUUAUAACUCAACUAGUGUGUGGCUAUAGAAAACUCUUUCAAAACCAAAAGAAGAGAAGAGCAAUCCUAUUCAGUCCCCGAUUUAUUUAUUAUUAAAAUUUUAACCUAGAGUUAAUUUUAAGGUAGAUACUUGAAAUGGGAUUAGAUAAGAUGAAAUUUAGUUUAAUGAAUAUACUACUACACAAGACCCUAGACUUGCCAAAUGAAAGCAAAACGUGUGACAAAAAAGUGUGAAUAUAAUUUAUUUAGAUUCCCGUCUAAAAAUCCUAUCAAAAAAAAGAAAAAAAAAGAUCAGUCUAAAAACAUCAUGAUUUUGUUAUUCAUUUCAAACUCAACACUGUCUUAUGUUACUUUCUUCUCUUUUUUUUUUCUGUAACUUUGUUGAAACCUUCGAUUCCGAAAAUUGAAAAGAAAUAUAUAUAUAUAUGGUAGUUGUUAAGAUACAUUAUUGUGUACCAUCCAUUAACCCCACAAUUAUUAUAAGUAAUACAAAAGUAGAACCACGUACACAUGUUUUCCUAAUAGAGCUUAUGGUUCCUCACCAGGUAAUGAAGACAUGAAUUGGUCUUUUAUGGACCAAUGUGGAGUUGAUUUGGAUGUUAUGAUUGAAUAUGAAAAUGUUAGAGCUGAUCAUUAUUCUGAAAUUUAUAAUGUUGUUCCCAGAUGAACGAACAACUUCGUUUUGGUUGUUUGUGGCAUGAAAAAUAAUUAGAAGUAAAAACUAGGUGUACAAUUAAAUGCAAAUAGUAAAGAAUUGUAGUGCGAACCGAAUUGUAGCUUUUGUUAAUAAAUACUUACAUGAUAAAAG